rnacentral:rRNA from 1 species
AUUGAACGCUGGCGGCAUGCCUUACACAUGCAAGUCGAACGGUAACAGGUCUUCGGAUGCUGACGAGUGGCGAACGGGUGAGUAUUACAUCGGAACGUGCCUAGUAGUGGGGGUUAACUACUCGAAAGAGUGGCUAAUACCGCAUGAGAUCUACGGAUGAAAGCAGGGGAUCGCAAGACCUUGUGCUACUAGAGCGGCCGAUGGCAGAUUAGGUAGUUGGUGGGAUAAAAGCUUACCAAGCCGACGAUCUGUAGCUGGUCUGAGAGGACGAUCAGCCACACUGGGACUGAGACACGGCCCAGGCGCCUACGGGAGGCAGCAGUGGGGAAUUUGGGACAAUGGGCGCAAGCCUGAUCCAGCAAUGCCGCGUGCAGGAUGAAGGCCGUCGGGUUGUAAACUGCUUUUGUACGGAACGAAAAGCCCUGGGUUAAUACCCUGGGGUAAUGACGGUACCGUAAGAAUAAGCACCGGCUAACUACGUGCCAGCCGCCGCCGUAACAC